rnacentral:rRNA from 1 species
UACAGAGGAUGCAAGCGUUAUCCGGAAUUAUUGGGCGUAAAGAGCUCGUAGGCGGUUCGUUGUGUCCGUCGUGAAAGCCCCGGGCUUAACCUGGGAACUGCGAUGGAAACUAGCGAGCUGGAGUGUGGCAGAGGGGGGUGGAAUUCCGCGUGUAGCAGUGAAAUGCGUAGAGAUGCGGAGGAACACCGGUGGCGAAGGCGGCGACCUGGGUAGAUACUGACGCUGAGGUGCGAAAGCGUGGGGAGCAAACAGG